rnacentral:rRNA from 1 species
AUGAACGCUGGCGGCGUGCCUAAUACAUGCAAGUCGAGCGAACGGAUGAGAAGCUUGCUUCUCUGAUGUUAGCGGCGGACGGGUGAGUAACACGUGGAUAACCUACCUAUAAGACUGGGAUAACUUCGGGAAACCGGAGCUAAUACCGGAUAAUAUUUUGAACCGCAUGGUUCAAAAGUGAAAGACGGUCUUGCUGUCACUUAUAGAUGGAUCCGCGCUGCAUUAGCUAGUUGGUAAGGUAACGGCUUACCAAGGCAACGAUGCAUAGCCGACCUGAGAGGGUGAUCGGCCACACUGGAACUGAGACACGGUCCAGACUCCUACGGGAGGCAGCAGUAGGGAAUCUUCCGCAAAGGGCGAAAGCCUGACGGAGCAACGCCGCGUGAGUGAUGAAGGUCUUCGGAUCGUAAAACUCUGUUAUUAGGGAAGAACAUAUGUGUAAGUAACUGUGCACAUCUUGACGGUACCUAAUCAGAAAGCCACGGCUAACUACGUG